rnacentral:lncRNA from 1 species
AUGGGACGAGUUGUUAGGGGCUGUGCUGCAGAAUUAGCUGGAGUUUUUACGGAUAUUUUCAAUCUAUCCUUGUUGCAGUGUUCUGUCCCCACUUGCCUGAAGACAUCUAUUAUAGUGCCAGUCCCGAAGCAGUCAGCUGUGGUAUCUCCCAAUGAUUAUAGACCAGUAGCUUUAACAUCUGUUAUUAUGAAAUGUUUUGAGAGAUUGGUGCUGGAUUACAUUAAGGCUAGUCUUCCACCUUCUUUGGAUCAAUGGCAAUUUGCAUACAGGAGAAAUAGAUCUACUGAUGAUGCUGUGUCCAUCGUACUCCAUACUGUAUUGAGCCACUUAGAACAACAGGGAACUUAUGCGAGGCUGUUGUUUGUGGAUUAUAGCUCUGCUUUUAACACCAUUCUACCAAAUAGGUUGUUUUUAAAAAUGAUCAACCUGGGAUUACCUCAGGAGAUCUGCAUGUGGAUAAAGGAUUUUCUGACAGAUAGGCCACAGUCAGUAAGGAUGGGAUCCCACCAUUCUUCUACCCUGGUACUAAGUACAGGAGCUCCCCAGGGCUGCGUGCUAAGUCCUUUCCUCUAUUCCCUGUACACACAUGAUUGCACCCCACUAUAUAACACCAAUGCAAUUAUUAAAUUUGCGGAUGAUACGACAGUGGUGGGACUCAUAAAUAAGAACAAUGAGUCUGCUUAUAGAAAGGAAGUACAAAGACUGAUACUAUGGUGUAAAGAAAAUCAUCUCACACUUAACAUCAAAAAAACUAAAGAACUCAUAAUUGAUUUUAGGAGGAAGAGAAAUGUACAUUUACCACUGUACAUAAACGGUGAGGAAGUGGAGAGAGUUGGUAGUUUUAAAUUUCUGGGCACUUACAUCUCAGAGGACCUCUCAUGGACUAUAAAUGCCAACAUGCUAAUAAAGAAGGCACAGAAGAGGCUGUAUUUCCUGAGAAUGCUCGGGAAGUUAAAUUUAUCACAGCAUUUACUUCUGUCCUACUACCGUAGCACCAUUGAGAGUGUCCUAACUUAUGGCAUUCUGGCAUGGUUUGGGAGUAGCUCUGUAGCGGACAAAAAAGCUCUACAGAGAACCAUUAAAAUUGCCCAGAAUAUCAUCGGGCUCCAGCUACAACCCUGGAUGACAUCUUCACAUCCCGCUGUCUAA